GAUGAAGAACGCAGCGAAAUGCGAUAAGUAAUGUGAAUUGCAGAAUUCAGUGAAUCAUCGAAUCUUUGAACGCACAUUGCGCCCUCUGGUAUUCCGGGGGCAUGCCUGUUCGAGCGUCAUUAUAACCACUCAAGCUCUCGCUUGGUAUUGGAGUUCGCGAUCUCGCGGCUCCUAAAAUCAGUGGCGGUGCCUGUCGGCUCUACGCGUAGUAAUACUCCUCGCGAUUGAGUCCGGUAGGUUUACUUGCCAGCAACCCCCAAUUUUUACAGGUUGACCUCGGAUCAGGUAGGGAUACCCGCUGAACUUAAGCAUAUCAAUAAGCGGAGGA
rnacentral:misc_RNA from 1 species